rnacentral:rRNA from 1 species
GAUGAACGCUGGCGGCGUGCCUAAUACAUGCAAGUCGAGCGAACAGAUGAGGAGCUUGCUCCUCUGACGUUAGCGGCGGACGGGUGAGUAACACGUGGAUAACCUACCUAUAAGACUGGGAUAACUUCGGGAAACCGGAGCUAAUACCGGAUAAUAUAUUGAACCGCAUGGUUCAAUAGUGAAAGACGGUUUUGCUGUCACUUAUAGAUGGAUCCGCGCCGCAUUAGCUAGUUGGUAAGGUAACGGCUUACCAAGGCAACGAUGCGUAGCCGACCUGAGAGGGUGAUCGGCCACACUGGAACUGAGACACGGUCCAGACUCCUACGGGAGGCAGCAGUAGGGAAUCUUCCGCAAUGGGCGAAAGCCUGACGGAGCAACGCCGCGUGAGUGAUGAAGGUCUUCGGAUCGUAAAACUCUGUUAUUAGGGAAGAACAAAUGUGUAAGUAACUAUGCACGUCUUGACGGUACUUAAUCAGAAAGCCACGGCUAACUACGUG